rnacentral:rRNA from 1 species
UACGGGGGGGGGCAAGCGUUGUUCGGAAUUACUGGGCGUAAAGGGCUCGUAGGUGGCCAACUAAGUCAGACGUGAAAUCCCCAGGCUCAACUUGGGAACUGCGUCUGAUACUGGAUGGCUUGAAUUCGGGAGAGGGAUGCAGAAUUCCAGGUGUAGCGGUGAAAUGCGUAGAUAUCUGGAGGAACACCGGUGGCGAAGGCGGCAUCCUGGACCGAGAUUGACGCUGAGGCGCGAAAGCCAGGGGAGCAAACGGG